AUAGUUUUGCAGUGGCAGUAUUGUAGCCAAUGGGGUUUACGUGAGGUACAAUCACUGCUAAUUGAAAACUUUUCCCAAUACCCUGCCAUGACAACUUGCAAUAUAGCUGGCACUGGUAAUUUUGGAUGGUCUCUACAGAAA
rfam:Otolemur garnettii contig153159, whole genome shotgun sequence.